rnacentral:rRNA from 1 species
ACUACGGGGGGCAGCAGGGGGGAAUAUUGGGCAAUGGGCGCAAGCCUGACCCAGCAACGCCGCGUGAAGGAAGAAGGCUUUCGGGUUGUAAACUUCUUUUCUCAGGGACGAAGCAAGUGACGGUACCUGAGGAAUAAGCCACGGCUAACUACGUGCCAGCAGCCGCGGUAAUACGUAGGUGGCAAACGUUAUCCGGAUUUACUGGGUGUAAAGGGCGUGUAGGCGGGAAAGCAAGUCAGAUGUGAAAACCAUGGGCUCAACCUGUGGCCUGCAUUUGAAACUGUUUUUCUUGAGUACUGGAGAGGCAGACGGAAUUCCUAGUGUAGCGGUGAAAUGCGUAGAUAUUAGGAGGAACACCAGUGGCGAAGGCGGUCUGCUGGACAGCAACUGACGCUGAGGCGCGAAAGCGUGGGGAGCAAACAGGAUUAGAUACCCCAGUAGUC